rnacentral:rRNA from 1 species
UACAGAGGGUGCGAGCGUUAAUCGGAAUUACUGGGCGUAAAGCGCACGUAGGCGGCUUUGUAAGUUAGAGGUGAAAGCCCGGAGCUCAACUUCGGAAUUGCCUUUAAGACUGCAUCGCUUGAAUCAUGGAGAGGUCAGUGGAAUUCCGAGUGUAGAGGUGAAAUUCGUAGAUAUUCGGAAGAACACCAGUGGCGAAGGCGACUGACUGGACAUGUAUUGACGCUGAGGUGCGAAAGCGUGGGGAGCAAACAGG